rnacentral:rRNA from 1 species
AUAUUGGACAAUGGGGGCAACCCUGUUCCAGCCAUGCUCCGUGUGUGAAGCAGGUCUUCGGAUUGUAAAGCACUUUAAGUUGGGAGGAAGGGCUUUAGGUUAAUACCGUGAAGUUUUGACGUUACCAACAGAAUAAGCACCGGCUAACUCUGUGUCAGCAGCCGCGGUAAUACAGAGGGUGCAAGCGUUAAUCGGAAUUACUGGGCGUAAAGCGCGCGUAGGUGGUUCAGUAAGAUGGGUGUGAAAUCCCCGGGCUUAACAUGGGAACUGCUUUCAUAACUGCUGAGCUAGAGUACGGUAGAGGGUAGUGGAAUUUCCUGUGUAGCGGUGAAAUGCGUAGAUAUAGGAAGGAACACCAGUGGCGAAGGCGACUACCUGGACUGAUACAGACACUGAGGUGCGAAAGCGUGGGGAGCAAACA